UGUAAACAUAAAAUAUUUGUUCAGUUUGAGGAAGCGAAUCGAUAAUAGACGUUGGAAUAUGUAUGCAAUACAGACUAUAUUGCCGAUUGUAGUACUGGCUAAAAAAUACCCUUUAUGACAGGUAUACUGGAUUAUGAAAGACUGAUAAACAUAAAAUUGACAACUCAUCUCCCCAACGAUACUUUGUGUGGCUCAUUCUCGGAACAAACCCAUAGUCAGUGAGAAAACUACAGUGUAAAAAGACCACUUGAUUGUGACAAUUAUGGCUGACCAAGCAAAUGUUAUCAUUUAAAAUAAAGAAAACUUCCAGUUCAAUAUACAUUUUAUACCAAUUAUGACAUUGGCCAACACAGAAAAUAAUUAUAAGGUUAAUUUUCCAAAUAUUGACUGUUACAAUUGGAUACUGUUUUAAGCUUCACUCUACUUUGUCUGAAAAUAAAAGUCCUAAAUGAUGUAAUAGAAACAUACAUAUUUAAUUUUUAGUUUAACAAGGAUAUAUAUAUACAUACAUAUAUUAUAAUAUCUUUUUAUCGAUGGUCAAUCAAUUUAAGUUUAACUCAUAUAUACAUACACAUUUUAUACAUGUGUAUGCUUUGAUUUUUUUCUAUUGAAGCCAAAUUAAUAUCCCAUUAGAUAGAUAGAUAAUAUCACAGCAGUAUUCCUAUUUUGUCUGCAAGUACUGCAGAAAUCAUGGAUUAUUAUUUUACUGAGUCAGCCUUAAUCUUUAUAUUGUAAUUGUUAAAACAGAUUAAGAUGUGCAUUAUACAAUUGAGGAUGCAUCAAGAUUAAAAAAUGGUACAUGUAUAAAUUAAUAAAGAAUCAAUAACAAUCAGAAACUGUGCUUUUUUUUCAGUAUUGUGUGAAAGGAUUUGAAGUAAUGAUGUGUUUUUGAAAUAUGAUUUAUGUGAAUUUGAAUAAAUAUAUAAAAUUUA